UACGGAGGAUGCAAGCGUUAUCCGGAAUGAUUGGGCGUAAAGCGUCCGCAGGUGGCAAUGUAAGUCUGCUGUCAAAGCGUCUGGCUCAACCAGAUAAAGGCAGUGGAAACUACAUAGCUAGAGUAAGGUAGGGGUAGAGGGAAUUCCUGGUGUAGCGGUGAAAUGCGUAGAGAUCAGGAAGAACACCGGUGGCGAAAGCGCUCUGCUGGACCUAAACCGACACUGAGGGACGAAAGCGUGGGGAGCAAACAGG
rnacentral:rRNA from 1 species